AGAAUACAGACACUGUAACUUGAGUUUUAUGGUAUGGAAAAGAAUAUGGCGGUUGAUGGACAAACUCACAUGUUAACAAGUCCAACGAUGAAUUGGCAGAAGGCAUAGCUGGACAUUUCCUUAAUCCAAAUAUAAAAACUCCAAUAACUGUAGGCAUUAUUGUGGAUGUAGUGAGGGAGUGACCAGUCACAUGGAAAAGAUAAAAGAAUAUCUGCUCCUCAGAGCUACUCAAGCCGCCUUUCCCACAGAAUUCGAUGGAAAAAAGAUACAGACCUCAGUGAAAAGGGUAAAAGAAUCAAUAAAGGAGUUGAGAAUUUAUUGGCCAGAGAAAAACAAGGCCAUGUUUGA